GUUGUAUUGCUGUGGAGCUAUGCGAUACACUGAUAUGCUUCACAUUAUAUUAUUUCACACACACACACACUUAAAAUUUAACAUUAUUAUUAUUAUUUUAUUAUUUACAUAGCGCCAUCAAAUUCCGUAGCGCUGUACAAUGGGAUAAACAACUAUACCUGGCGAGUAAGAAUACUAUCCCCCCAGAUUUGUGGGGGUUUCUACACCCAUGGUUGUUAGUUCCUGAGUUGUGUAGACUGAUCAGGAAGUCUUUAUUUAGAUUGAUG